GAGCACCGAGCCCCGCGCAGCCGCCGCCCGUGGAGCCCCAAGCCCAGUCCAGGACCGCGAUGGAGGGAGUGAGCAGCCACCGCACCCUGUCCUACAGCCGCUGGAGCUACGACAGGUAAGGAGCGUGCUGGGAAGAUGAGCUUCUCCCGGUACCUCGGGUUGGCUCCGCGUGGGUGCCGCUAACGCGCGUGCUCAAAGAAGAUGCGGGCGUGAGCGCCCAGAGCUACCAGCAUGAAUUCACGCACCAGCAUCCGCAGGCAUCCGGGACCCGGGGUACCCAUGGCCUCGGAUAUCCAGAGUCAGAGCUCAGGCGCGGGCAUCCUAACACCUGAGGGACAGAACGAUGGGAGGAGGGUGUGUGGGUACCGAGAUCCUCGGACUACCACUUCGCGGUGCAGGUGGGCGCUAGAACCCAGGAAAGGCCGUACCGGCCCCGCGCUGCCGCGGUGUGUCCAGCCGACAAUCAGUGGGUGACCUGGUUUGUCCCGAAUCGGACUGGCAAGACUUGCACCUGGAAGUCGGUUCCUGCUCUGCCCGGCUGGCGGGAUCUUAGCCCGGAGCAGGGUGUCGAAGCGCAGGAGCGGCUCUAGGCUCCAGCGGGGGUGUCAGGCUCCGCGCACACCCCGCGAUGAUGGCAAGCGGCUGCCAGCGUGGGCGGCUUGGAGCCGCGCUCCCCACGCACUGGUCCUGGAGGAAGGAAUCAUACUUCCUGGCGAAAUGAGAAAAACAAGGACAGCAAAUGAGUUAGUGAUAAAGCAGAGUAGAUUUAUUCAGAGACUAUAUCCGUUCUAUCAUUUUGAUUUCUUUUUUGCGUAUUAAAUGAACCCCACUCCCCAUUUAAAAAGGAAACCAUGCAGAUAAUAGUUUUUGUUGUUGCUGCUGCUGCUGCUGCUGCUGUUGUUGUUGUUGUUGUUGUUGUUGUUGUUGUUGUUUUCGUUUUUUAAGUUCUAAGCCCUGUGUAAAUCUCCAGGAUCCUGGAGUGAAUUUUCAGAUCCCUGACUUUCAGCAGUGAAGGCUGGAAGAAACUUCUUUAACUGGUCUCCCCGCCCCAUUGCUCUUCCUUUUGCCUGCUUCGCUUCCCCCGGGAAACCCUUGCUGUGUCUUUGACAGUGCUUGUUUUUCUAAAAUUCAGAGGAACCGUUCUCGCCUUCCC
rnacentral:lncRNA from 1 species